rnacentral:lncRNA from 1 species
AAAAGGCAUCGGGGAAGAGAGGGAAGGCUGUGCCAAACAGAUGGCACACCCUGCUGUGUUUUUGAUUGAAAAAGAAAGGUAACAUUUGCAGCCACGUCAAAGAGACAGUGAUCAGCUAAACAAAUUGGUCUCCGAAGUGCAGCAUUGCUGGAGCAAACCCUGCUGCAGGGUACGAGCGAGGUUGUAUUUCACAAUAAUGCCGUGUGCGCGUCGCGGCUCUCCGAAGUGAAGGGAGAUGUCCCCCUUUCAUCUCUCCAAGGCGAGCAAAAAAAGCCUUUGUUGAGAUACACUGCAAUGCACUCUACAAAAGCGGCAGAGAAACCCAGACAAUGAGUGUGGGUUUUUUUUCUCCUCUUUAUUUUUUUCUUUUUCCUCUUGGUCAUCUCCAAAUCAUAUUCAGGGACAGCCCAGCAGGUUUUCCAUUUGGUGUAUCAGGUGUCCAGGUCUCAGAGUGAAUAAAAUUGCAGUGUGGUUUAAGAGAAAUGGGAAGGCAAUGCCAAAUAAUCUGCGAAGGGUGCCAUUGGAGGAGGAGGAGGCUGUGUGUAGCUGGAGAGGCUUACGCCUGCACGCUGCCCGCAGUACAAACAUCAAAUGUGGCAGAGGAAGGGUGCGUGGGGGGCUCCCCGCCCCUCUUUUUUUUUGGGCUCAUCUCAGCUGGCAGCCUUAUUCCGCCUCAGUAAAGACAAGGUUACCAAUCUGAGUUUCAACUUUUCCUGUCUGCUCCUUCCUGACUUCUAUUGCCAUAGUAUUUUACUAUCAUGCACAAGACUUGGCAAGAAUAUCCCAUUAGUACAGCGAGUGAGGUGAGUGGUACUGUCCUGCAAAUAGUCAAGAACUAGAAAAGGAGUAAACAUCCUCUUUCGAGUAAAAAGGAGUUAAAAUAAACAGAGAGGGUGACAGUUCA